rnacentral:rRNA from 1 species
CCUUGACUCUGGGAUAAGCCCGGGAAACUGGGUCUAAUACUGGAUGYUACAUGUCACCGCAUGGUGGUGUGUGGAAAGGGUUUACUGGUCUUGGAUGGGCUCACGGCCUAUCAGCUUGUUGGUGAGGUAAUGGCUCACCAAGGCGACGACGGGUAGCCGGCCUGAGAGGGUGACCGGCCACACUGGGACUGAGACACGGCCCAGACUCCUACGGGAGGCAGCAGUGGGGAAUAUUGCACAAUGGGCGAAAGCCUGAUGCAGCGACGCCGCGUGAGGGAUGACGGCCUUCGGGUUGUAAACCUCUUUCAGCAGGGAAGAAGCCACAAGUGACGGUACCUGCAGAAGAAGCGCCGGCUAACUACGUGCCAGCAGCCGCGGUAAUACGUAGGGCGCAAGCGUUGUCCGGAAUUAUUGGGCGUAAAGAGCUCGUAGGCGGUUUGUCGCGUCUGCUGUGAAAGCCCGGGGCUUAACCCCGGGUGUGCAGUGGGUACGGGCAGACUAGAGUGCAGUAGGGGAGACUGGAAUUCCUGGUGUAGCGGUGGAAUGCGCAGAUAUCAGGAGGAACACCGAUGGCGAAGGCAGGUCUCUGGGCUGUUACUGACGCUGAGGAGCGAAAGCAUGGGGAGCGAACAGGAUUAGAUACCCUGGUAGUCCAUGCCGUAAACGUUGGGCACUAGGUGUGGGGGACAUUCCACGUUUUCCGCGCCGUAGCUAACGCAUUAAGUGCCCCGCCUGGGGAGUACGGCCGCAAGGCUAAAACUCAAAGGAAUUGACGGGGGCCCGCACAAGCGGCGGAGCAUGCGGAUUAAUUCGAUGCAACGCGAAGAACCUUACCAAGGCUUGACAUAUACCGGAUCGUUCCAGAGAUGGUUCUUCCCCUUUGGGGUCGGUAUACAGGUGGUGCA